UACGUAGGUGGCAAGCGUUGUCCGGAAUUACUGGGUGUAAAGCGCGUGUAGGCGGCAGGCCAAGUCUGCGGUGAAAGCGCCCGGCUCAACUGGGCGAGGUCCGUGGAAACUGGUCAGCUGGAGGACGGUAGAGGCGAGUGGAAUUCCCGGUGUAGUGGUGAAAUGCGUAGAGAUCGGGAGGAACACCUGUAGCGAAGGCGGCUCGCUGGGCCGGUCCUGACGCUGAGACGCGAAGGCGUGGGGAGCGAACGGG
rnacentral:rRNA from 1 species